AUGAUGGAUUUCAGAUCAGGACUGUUUAUUUUUGCCCUCUGUUUUAUAGGUGUUAAAGGCCAGACUCUGAUUGAAUCUGAAUCAGUGGUUAAAAUACCUGGAGAAUCCCACAAACUGACCUGUACAGCCUCAGGAUUCACAUUCAGUGACCACUGGAUGCAUUGGGUCAGACAGUCUCCUGGGAAAGGACUGGAGUGGGUUGCAGGCAUUAGUUAUUAUGGUGACAGCACAUACUACUUUCAAUCAGUCCAAGGCAGGUUCACCAUCUCCAGAGACAACAACAAACAGCAGCUGUAUCUGCAGAUGAACAGCCUGAAGACUGAAGAUUCUGCUGUUUAUUUCUGCGUUCGAGACACACAAUGA